rnacentral:rRNA from 1 species
GAUGAACGCUGGCGGCGUGCCUAAUACAUGCAAGUCGAGCGAACGGACGAGAAGCUUGCUUCUCUGAUGUUAGCGGCGGACGGGUGAGUAACACGUGGAUAACCUACCUAUAAGACUGGGAUAACUUCGGGAAACCGGAGCUAAUACCGGAUAAUAUUUUGAACCGCGUGGUUCAAAAGUGAAAGACGGUCUUGCUGUCACUUAUAGAUGGAUCCGCGCCGCAUUAGCUAGUUGGUAAGGUAACGGCUUACCAAGGCAACGAUGCAUAGCCGACCUGAGAGGGUGAUCGGCCACACUGGAACUGAGACACGGUCCAGACUCCUACGGGAGGCAGCAGUAGGGAAUCUUCCGCAAUGGGCGAAAGCCUGACGGAGCAACGCCGCGUGAGUGAUGAAGGUCUUCGGAUCGUAAAACUCUGUUAUUAGGGAAGAACAUAUGUGUAAGUAACUGUGCACAUCUUGACGGUACCUAAUCAGAAAGCCACGGCUAACUACGUGCCAGCAGCCGCGGUAAUACGUAGGUGGCAAGCGUUAUCCGGAAUUAUUGGGCGUAAAGCGCGCGUAGGCGGUUUUUUAAGUCUGAUGUGAAAGCCCACGGCUCAACCGUGGAGGGUCAUUGGAAACUGGAAAACUUGAGUGCAGAAGAGGAAAGUGGAAUUCCAUGUGUAGCGGUGAAAUGCGCAGAGAUAUGGAGGAACACCAGUGGCGAAGGCGACUUUCUGGGUCUGUAACUGACGCUGAUGUGCGAAAGCGUGGGGAUCAAACAGGAUUAGAUACCCUGGUAGUCCACGCCGUAAACGAUGAGUGCUAAGUGUUAGGGGGUUUCCGCCCCUUAGUGCUGCAGCUAACGCAUUAAGCACUCCGCCUGGGGAGUACGACCGCAAGGUUGAAACUCAAAGGAAUUGACGGGGACCCGCACAAGCGGUGGAGCAUGUGGUUUAAUUCGAAGCAACGCGAAGAACCUUACCAAAUCUUGACAUCCUUUGACAACUCUAGAGAUAGAGCCUUCCCCUUCGGGGGACAAAGUGACAGGUGGUGCAUGGUUGUCGUCAGCUCGUGUCGUGAGAUGUUGGGUUAAGUCCCGCAACGAGCGCAACCCUUAAGCUUAGUUGCCAUCAUUAAGUUGGGCACUCUAAGUUGACUGCCGGUGACAAACCGGAGGAAGGUGGGGAUGACGUCAAAUCAUCAUGCCCCUUAUGAUUUGGGCUACACACGUGCUACAAUGGACAAUACAAAGGGCAGCGAAACCGCGAGGUCAAGCAAAUCCCAUAAAGUUGUUCUCAGUUCGGAUUGUAGUCUGCAACUCGACUACAUGAAGCUGGAAUCGCUAGUAAUCGUAGAUCAGCAUGCUACGGUGAAUACGUUCCCGGGUCU